UGGGGUCCUCGUCUGCUUUAACCUGCCACUCCUGGAGCAGCAUAGGAUAGUGUUUAAGGAAUUCCUUGUUGCAGGAUGUAUAAAAAGUGACCAACCGCGAAGACCCAAGUUGAUUUUAUUCACAUAUUGCUUCAAUUCCUCAUGCGCUCGAACCUGCUCCAAUCGAACGCAGCUCGGAUCACCUACCGUGAGCCUCACUUCCCUAAAAAGCCCCCGAGUCGCAGACUUCGAACAUCUAUGGCAAGUGAGACGAAGAUUUUUGAGUGAUUUUCGAUCUGAAAAGGAUGCGAUGCGAGCCCAAAGUUCGCUCGGGAGCUGAGGGAUAGCCAGUGCCAUCUUGGCAGACUGAAAAGUAAAGCCC
rnacentral:sRNA from 1 species